ensembl:lncRNA
GCGCCUGUCCAUUCAGGUAGUGUCUGUCAAAUCAGGUAGUGUAUAUCCCAGCAGGUAGUAGGUGUUGCAGCAGGUAGUGUCUAUUCCAGCAGGUUGUGUCUGUCCCAGAAGGUAGUGACUUUUCCAGCAGGUAGUGUCUGUCCCAUCAGGUAGAGUCUGUCCGAGCAGGCUGUUUCUGUUCCAGCAGGUAGUGUCUAUCCCAGCAGGUAAAAUAUAGUGUCUGUCCCAGCAGUUAGAAGAUAGUGUUUGUCCCAGCAGGUAGAAUGUAGUGACUGUCCCAGCAGGUAGAAUGUAGUGACUGUCCCAGCAGGCAGUGUCUGUCCCAUCGGGUAGUGUCUGUCCCAGCAGGCAGUAUCUGUCCCAUCGGGUAGUGUCUGUCCCAGCAGGUAGUGUCUGUCCCAGCAGGUAGUGUCUGUCCCAUCAGGUAGUGUCUUUCCCAUCAUGUAGUGUCUGUCCCAGCAGGUAGUGUCUGUCCCAGCAGGUAGUGUCUGUCCC